AUGAACAUCCCAUCUUCGCUCAACUCUGCUUCAGUUUUGUUCAUUUUCGUUCUUAUCACGAAUCAACCGUCUUUGUUAAACAUCAUUCAUUCUGAUCACGGUCUUUGUUUUGUUCACAACGUCGUGAUUUCACUCUUCAAUCUCUGCCGUGAACCUCGUCUCAAAUUUGUUUCCGAUACAAAUUCACCUUCCUCGCGCUGA